CAGCGUGUUGGUACCUGGGGCCUGUGA
rnacentral:piRNA from 1 species